CUCUAGCGGGGAGCCCGCUGCAGGGCGAGGGUUCGCUGCGGAGGCGACGCGUGGCAUGUUGAGGGUUCGCCUUUUAUUAGAUGUAUAGAUAACGAAUUAGCCCCCAAUAAAAAAAGGAAAAGAAAAAGGAAGCCUUAGUGAAACAUUAAUUAACUUGCGUAAUUUGGUAAAUCAAAUGAGAUUAGCGAGUUUGUGGUGUGAGUUUUAAAACUAAUACCGAACCGUUUUCUAAUUAAUAGAUAAGAUAUUUUGAAUAGUGUCACAUCAGAGUCAAUUCUAAUCCUCUCCAUUCAUUGAGGAAUUGUCAUGAUUCACUUGACACCUAUCUUGUACGGGAGCGAGAGAGUUGAGGAUUAGUGGCUAUUUUUUAGAAAAAAUUUCAAAUACCACCCAUGUAGUUUCAUACUUUCUCAUUUUAAUAUUUUGUGUUUUAUAGUGUAUCAAUUUAGUGUCAUAUAGUUUCAUUUUUAUCUUUUUAUUAUCGAUUUCACUAAUUUUUUUCGUUAAAUCAGUAACAAAGUUAAAACUAAAGGUUCUAAAGUGAAUAUUUGAUAAAGCUAAAUAGGGUAUCUGAAGUUUUUUGUACAUAAUUUAACAAAAUAUUAACGAAAAAGCUGCCUAAAAGAUAAAAAUAGAACCACAGGACACUAACUUAAUACACUUUAAACCACAAGUACUAAAGUGAGAAAAUACGAAACCACAGGAGUGCUAUUUGAAGUUUACCCUAUUUUUUAGUAUGAAGUUAUAACUGCACUGUAGUUAGGGAUGGCAAUCCAGCUCGUUGUUUGCGAGCCAGCUCGUGGUUCGCGAGCCGAACACGAGCUGGAUUUUUCAGCUCGUUUAAUAAACGAACCGAACACGAGCUGGGGUCAGCUCACUCGUGUUCGGUUCGAUAACAGCUCGAAUACAUAUAUUUUAUAUUUAUAUAAUUUAUAUAAUUUAUAUUUUUAUAUAUAAAUAAAUAAUUAUAUAUAAUAUAUAUUUUUAUUAUUUAAAUUUUAGCAAAAUAAAAAUAUAAAUGCGAGCUUAAUUAUAA
rnacentral:lncRNA from 1 species